rnacentral:piRNA from 1 species
AGAUCAAGAGGGUGAUGCAGAUGCUG